rnacentral:rRNA from 1 species
GAUGAACGCUGGCGGCGUGCCUAAUACAUGCCAGUCGAGCGAACAGAUGAGGAGCUUGCUCCUCUGACGUUAGCGGCGGACGGGUGAGUAACACGUGGAUAACCUACCUAUAAGACUGGGAUAACUUCGGGAAACCGGAGCUAAUACCGGAUAAUAUAUUGAACCGCAUGGUUCAAUAGUGAAAGACGGUUUUGCUGUCACUUAUAGAUGGAUCCGCGCCGCAUUAGCUAGUUGAUAAGGUAACGGCUUACCAAGGCGACGAUGCGUAGCCGACCUGAGAGGGUGAUCGGCCACACUGGAACUGAGACACGGUCCAGACUCCUACGGGAGGCAGCAGUAGGGAAUCUUCCGCAAUGGGCGAAAGCCUGACGGAGCAACGCCGCGUGAGUGAUGAAGGUCUUCGGAUCGUAAAACUCUGUUAUUAGGGAAGAACAAAUGUGUAAGUAACUAUGCACGUCUUGACGGUACCUAAUCAGAAAGCCACGGCUAACUACGUG